rnacentral:rRNA from 1 species
GAUGAACGCUGGCGGCGUGCCUAACACAUGCAAGUCGAGCGAUUUACUUCGGUAAAGAGCGGCGGACGGGUGAGUAACGCGUGGGUAACCUGCCCUGUACACACGGAUAACAUACCGAAAGGUAUGCUAAUACGAGAUAAUAUGCUUUUAUCGCAUGGUAGAAGUAUCAAAGCUUUUGCGGUACAGGAUGGACCCGCGUCUGAUUAGCUAGUUGGUAAGGUAACGGCUUACCAAGGCGACGAUCAGUAGCCGACCUGAGAGGGUGAUCGGCCACAUUGGAACUGAGACACGGUCCAAACUCCUACGGGAGGCAGCAGUGGGGAAUAUUGCACAAUGGGCGAAAGCCUGAUGCAGCAACGCCGCGUGAGCGAUGAAGGCCUUCGGGUCGUAAAGCUCUGUCCUCAAGGAAGAUAAAGACGGUACUUGAGGAGGAAGCCCCGGCUAACUACGUGCCAGCCGCCGCGGUAAUAC